GUAUUGGCGUACAAAUAGCGGUUUCUAUUUUGCUGUUGUAGCAAUUUAAUAUAUUUUAAUUCUUGUGUAUAUCAUACAUAUUUGCUUUAACCGUGUCACCUUAACAAUCAAUCACCUUUGCGCCAGCUUCAAUUUUUUGGUAUUGUCGUCCUUCUUCAAAUGAUGUGUCAAAAUGUCGACGCGCUUUUUAUAUUUCAAAAAUUUCGAAUGAAACAAAAAGCAAUAAAAAAUGGGAAGAAAUAAGUACUAAACGAAAUGUAUGUUCUUAAAAUCAAGCAUGGGACUGAUAAUAUACAUAUGAACGUGCCCCGUUGAUAGUCCUCUUUUAUAUACAAAAUUAUACUACAUUGCUAUAAUACAUUGCUAUAAAUAUAUGUAUGCACAUACUAUAUAUAGUAUUUAAACGCAAGUCAACAAGAUCACAGAGAUUCAGAUUCAUGUGACUCCACAGAAAGCGUCGAAAUGAAAAGAACGCGCGAAAAAGCGAAACAAAACGAAAAUGUGGGAUGGCCAAGCAGAUCUGGCGAAAAAAUAAAUAUUCUCCUACAUACUUAGUAUAUGCAGAUUUCUGGUACAAAUGUAUUUUUUUGUUGUUUUUAAAUUUUCCAUUUGCUUUUGACGCACACACCCAUCCGCCCACCUAUUUUUUUGAUACAUGUACAGUUAUUGGAAUAUUUUGCGAAAAGGCAAAUUUUUUGAAUUUAUAUUCAAACGUCACGUCUACACUAGAGAACCCUUGGCCACAGGAAAAUACAACCGAUUGCAAAGUGGGUGCUACUUUUGCUGUUUGAUUGAUACUACUAAAGCACGUGUUUCUGAGCGUUUUGUUACUCAUCUUAUAGACCGAUCGACUAGACUGUUAUGUGCGUGUGAUAUAUUGUGUUUUCUUCUUCUUUUUCUUUUCUUCUUUAGUUUGGCAUUGCUUACUUUUAAUAUUUUUUUUUUAUUUUUUUCUGUAGCUAAAUUAUAGCACUUUUUAGACGUAGUCAUGUUUCAUUAAAAUUUUGCAAAUUUUAGUCGAUUACCGGUGGAGCAGGUGGAUGGGUUAGGCGGACAGACAGUGAAAUCUCAAGUGGCUUUUCAUUCUGAAGAUAUUGAAAUAUAAUUUUUUAUGUAACUUAAUUGUUUUAAAUUCUUAA